GGAAUUGUGGCUUAGUGGUAGAGUGCUUGCCUAGCAUGCAUGAAGCCCUGCGUUCGAUGCCUCAAUACCA
rnacentral:tRNA from 1 species